rnacentral:rRNA from 1 species
UACGUAGGGUGCAAGCGUUAAUCGGAAUUACUGGGCGUAAAGCGUGCGCAGGCGGUUUUGUAAGUCUGUCGUGAAAUCCCCGGGCUCAACCCGGGAACUGCGUCCGAUACUGGAAGGCUUGAAUCCGGGAGAGGGAGUGCGGAAUUCCGAGGUGUAGCGGUGAAAUGCGUAGAUAUCUGGAGGAACACCGGUGGCGAAGGCGGCAUCCUGGACCGGUAUUGACGCUGAGGCGCGAAAGCCAGGGGAGCAAAGCGGG